UACAGAGGGUGCGAGCGUUGUCCGGAAUCACUGGGCGUAAAGGGCGCGUAGGCGGCCCGGCAAGUCAAUGGUGAAAGCUCAGGCUCAACUCUGAGUCGGCCACUGAUACUGCGGGGCUCGAGUCUGGUAGAGGCAGAUGGAAUUCCGGGUGUAGCGGUGGAAUGCGUAGAGAUCCGGAAGAACACCGGUGGCGAAGGCGGUCUGCUGGGCCAGUACUGACGCUGAGGGCGCG
rnacentral:rRNA from 1 species